GGAUGUGAGAUCUAUCUGGCUGUGACAUCUGUCACCCCAGUGACCAGAUCGGCUGAUCUGGCUGGUUAGGCGGGUAUCCCCUUCCUCCCUCGCCACUCCAUGUGCGUCCCUCUGGAAGCUGCACACUCGGUUGAAGAGGACUAUCUUCCCUGAUAGAGGAGGACUGUCCUUUGGUCAAGGGUAUAUUAGUAGCUGUGCUCCCCUGCUAGAACCCCCAAACAAGCUCUCAGGGUCCGUUUGUAGGAGAACGUAGGGUAAUCAAACUGCCAAGACUCCAGACACAUCCAAAUGAUGCACUGCAUGUGGCAGUCUGCCUUUCUUA
rnacentral:snRNA from 1 species